UUUGCAAAGUGCCCUGACCGGGAGUCUCUGGAUUCGGCCAAAUCGGGGCUUUGCUACGCCUGGGAUCUGAGACCUGUAUCUCCAAAACUCCAAAAACGAUCAGGGAAGACCAUGCACAACGACUGAUGAGAACAUCUCUGCAGAGCCAGCUACUGUCGCCUUUUGCGGCACUUGAAAGACAUCGGGAAUCUGUUAAAAUGAGCGUUCCUGAAGAGCCUCUCAUUCUGUGAAAUGCCACAACAAAGGUAAUAGGGCUCGUGGGGGGUAAAAGGGAGCUAAGGGCAGGCCACUCCAAACCUGUGUGGCUUUGUAAUUGGUCUACUAACAGAAGCGAUAAUUGGUCCGCCAGAGAUAAGGCUGAGCGCGGGAGCACCAGAAGCUGGUGCAGAGGAUAUUAAACACGCACGAAAAUAAUGCAGUGCACACUCUGGCUUGUGGUCCUGUGAGCCCCUGGGGCUGCUGGGAGCUGGACACAAGGGGAGUAUCACCCCGGGCAUGCGAGGCUGGAACGUGCUUCCUGAGGGCGGGAGCCCCACGUGCACGUGUUCACUUAAAAUGACAGAAAAACAAAAAGGAAAAAAAAUACAGAACCGAAUGCCAUGCUCAGCUCUUCCCAUGGAGGUGGCCAUUGCACUCUACGAUUUCAGCUCCUCUCACCUUGGAAAACACACAUGGGAACCACACAGCUUCCAUGUUACCCAGUCUGCACUACCCUGCUU